rnacentral:lncRNA from 1 species
CCGAACCCGAAAAUUUGAACUCGAAAUUAUUAUUUCUUUUUUCAAUAUUUCAAAAUAUAUUAUAUUAAAUCUAAAUUUUUAAAAUACAAAUUUAAAUAUAAUAUCAUAUAUAUAUAUAUAUUAUAAUACAAAAUAAAUUCGGGUUCGGGUCGGGUUAGGGUCGGGUUUGGCUUCAGGUCGGGUAUAGUCAAAAUUCAUAUCCGAAUCCAUAUCCGUCGGGUUACUAUUUUUGAUAUCCAUAUACGAAUCCAUAUCCAUUUAGCAUCGGAUAUAUCCGUUUCAUUCGGGUUCGGGUUCGGAUAAAAUUUCGGGUAUCUAUACCCAUUGACAUCUCUACCCUCC